AAUUGGCAGCUCUACGUGCAGCUCAAUCACACACACAUUGCGCGGUGUCAACGCAAAGUCGAUGUUUAUAAAAUUUGUUCGGCUCAUAGCACGUAAUAAAACAUUUCCGCAAAAAGAGUUGACAGCUUGCACAGACUGAUAACGCAGAACGGAAGCAUUGCUCUCACUCCUGCUUCAGAAGGGGACUAAAGUUUUACUCCGAUUCGUUUGGCACACUCAGACUCAAGCCAACUUAGAGAAAUUUGGUUCUUGAUAUUGGUUUUGUCCGAAACCACAAAGAAGACGAUUUUAGGGGCAAACGAAGAACUACGCCGACGUCGUCAAGAUGAUUUAUGGCGACACGCGCAGUUUGCGUAUUGAUGGCAACUUGCAGCAGCACAAAAUUCCAGUGCAGCAUCAGCGCCGACAGCGAUAGCCGUCCCAGUGUCCUCCACCCGCGCCACCCAAUGAAACGAAGGAGCACGCCUUAGCUGCAUGUGAAGCAUCAAAGGCGUGACGUACCUGGUACCCUGGAUCGGGUUGAGCGCGGUGAGCCGCGGGUCGCCGCUCGUGGCGUGGUCAGCGGUCAGCCGCCUCCAGCU